AGUGAGAUGGCUGGGUCAAAUGGUGGUUCUAUUCAAAUUUUCUGAGGAAUCUCCAGACUGUUUUUCAGAGUGGUUGUACUAAUUUGCAGUCCGACCAGCAAU
rnacentral:pre_miRNA from 1 species